UUUUUAAAAAAAAUUAAAAAAUUAUACGAAGCUCUUAAUUAAAAAGUAAAAAAUAAAAAAUAAAAAAACUUCUCGGCUCUCGCCGUGACGCCGGUUGCUCCUCCUACUCAAGAGACAUGUUGCGCUCUCUCUCUCUCCUUCCGCCGCCGAUGAUAUGCCGUUCAUAAAUAACAUCCUGCCAUUUUUUCCGUUCACAACUCCUUCCAUUUCUUUGGUGGACAGUUCGUUUGCAAAUCGGAGGCACCGUCAAUUUCCAGAAAAAUUAGGGAUCCUAGAAUUCUAAUUUUAUUAUGGUUUAUCUACAGUGAAAAGUUCGGCGACGGAAUAAUUAGGGUUUGGCAGGGCAUGCAUCCAUUAACGAUUGCUUAGGAGCUUCUUCGGAAUUCGGUUUGCCACUGUGAAAGCAAAACCUUCAAAAGGAAUGCCUGAAUGCUGUUACUACUGAUUCCAUUGAAAUUCUGAAGGAGUUUGCCACUGUGAAAGCAAAUCCUUCAAAAGUAAUUCCAGAAUGCUUAUACUGCUGAUUCCAUUAAACUUCUGAAGGAGAAUGUCCUAGGGAGAAAAACUGCCGCGAUUUUCUAUGGUAUUGCUCUAUUUGCUUCAGAACAAAGCUCUACCAUCACCGGGACUUAUGCUGGCCAAUAUUCAGAGUUGUCAGGAGAAUACCAUUCUCGAGCACUAUGACUGUUGAUGAUGCACUUGUGCCUUCUAAAGGGUACCUCAUUGUGCAUUUCCAUGACUAUAUGGGAUGGGGACCAUGGGGUUGUGGACUUGUGGUUGAUACUUUAUAUGCAUAGUCUAGCCAGAAUGAAGAUAGUAAACUGAAACCUGUCGAUAGAGUUGUCGAGACUAAAUAGUAAUUACACGGCUUCUAAACUAAAGAAUCACAAUACAGUGCUUUUAUUAAGGUUAAGGGAAGGUGAUGUGUAAGGUGGGCCAAUGAUGGGUGAUUAUUACCUGUGUUCAUGUGGUG